rnacentral:rRNA from 1 species
UGCAAGUCGAACGAUGAUGCCCAGCUUGCUGGGUGGAUUAGUGGCGAACGGGUGAGUAACACGUGAGUAACCUGCCCCUGACUCUGGGAUAAGCGUUGGAAACGACGUCUAAUACUGGAUAUGACUGCCGGCCGCAUGGUCUGGUGGUGGAAAGAUUUUUUGGUUGGGGAUGGACUCGCGGCCUAUCAGCUUGUUGGUGAGGUAAUGGCUCACCAAGGCGACGACGGGUAGCCGGCCUGAGAGGGUGACCGGCCACACUGGGACUGAGACACGGCCCAGACUCCUACGGGAGGCAGCAGUGGGGAAUAUUGCACAAUGGGCGAAAGCCUGAUGCAGCAACGCCGCGUGAGGGAUGACGGCCUUCGGGUUGUAAACCUCUUUUAGUAGGGAAGAAGCGUAAGUGACGGUACCUGCAGAAAAAGCACCGGCUAACUACGUGCCAGCAGCCGCGGUAAUACGUAGGGUGCAAGCGUUGUCCGGAAUUAUUGGGCGUAAAGAGCUCGUAGGCGGUUUGUCGCGUCUGCUGUGAAAUCCCGAGGCUCAACCUCGGGCUUGCAGUGGGUACGGGCAGACUAGAGUGCGGUAGGGGAGAUUGGAAUUCCUGGUGUAGCGGUGGAAUGCGCAGAUAUCAGGAGGAACACCGAUGGCGAAGGCAGAUCUCUGGGCCGUAACUGACGCUGAGGAGCGAAAGCGUGGGGAGCGAACAGGAUUAGAUACCCUGGUAGUCCACGCCGUAAACGUUGGGCGCUAGAUGUAGGGACCUUUCCACGGUUUCUGUGUCGUAGCUAACGCAUUAAGCGCCCCGCCUGGGGAGUACGGCCGCAAGGCUAAAACUCAAAGGAAUUGACGGGGGCCCGCACAAGCGGCGGAGCAUGCGGAUUAAUUCGAUGCAACGCGAAGAACCUUACCAAGGCUUGACAUACACCGGAAACGGCCAGAGAUGGUUGCCCCCUUGUGGUCGGUGUACAGGUGGUGCAUGGUUGUCGUCAGCUCGUGUCGUGAGAUGUUGGGUUAAGUCCCGCAACGAGCGCAACCCUCGUUCUAUGUUGCCAGCGCGUUAUGGCGGGGACUCAUAGGAGACUGCCGGGGUCAACUCGGAGGAAGGUGGGGAUGACGUCAAAUCAUCAUGCCCCUUAUGUCUUGGGCUUCACGCAUGCUACAAUGGCCGGUACAAAGGGCUGCGAUACCGUAAGGUGGAGCGAAUCCCAAAAAGCCGGUCUCAGUUCGGAUUGAGGUCUGCAACUCGACCUCAUGAAGUCGGAGUCGCUAGUAAUCGCAGAUCAGCAACGCUGCGGUGAAUACGUUCCCGGGCCUUGUACACACCGCCCGUCAAGUCAUGAAAGUCGGUAACACCCGA